rfam:Candidatus Desantisbacteria bacterium CG1_02_49_89 cg1_0.2_scaffold_2328_c, whole genome shotgun sequence.
CAGUCAGUUGCAAAUAACUGACCCAGAUAAGAUUUGGCAGUCUGGUAGCAAGAAGCCAGAAAGGAAGGAGCAAUCUUUCUUUUCUAAGCGGCUUGACAAAGUCCGCCUCGGGCGGGCGAUGCAAAAGACGGGUUGCAACGAAA